AGAGUUUGAUCAUGGCUCAGAUUGAACGCUGGCGGCAUGCCUUACACAUGCAAGUCGAACGGCAGCGCGGGAGCAAUCCUGGCGGCGAGUGGCGAACGGGUGAGUAAUACAUCGGAACGUGCCCAAUCGUGGGGGGAUAACGCAGCGAAAGCUGUGCUAAUACCGCAUACGAUCUACGGAUGAAAGCAGGGGACCGCAAGGCUUGCGCGACUGGAGCGGCCGAUGGCAGAUUAGGUAGUUGGUGGGGUAAAGGCUCACCAAGCCUUCGAUCUGUAGCUGGUCUGAGAGGACGACCAGCCACACUGGGACUGAGACACGGCCCAGACUCCUACGGGAGGCAGCAGUGGGGAAUUUUGGACAAUGGGCGCAAGCCUGAUCCAGCCAUGCCGCGUGCAGGAUGAAGGCCUUCGGGUUGUAAACUGCUUUUGUACGGAACGAAAAGGUUCUCUCUAAUAAAGAGGGCUCAUGACGGUACCGUAAGAAUAAGCACCGGCUAACUACGUGCCAGCAGCCGCGGUAAUACGUAGGGUGCAAGCGUUAAUCGGAAUUACUGGGCGUAAAGCGUGCGCAGGCGGUUAUGUAAGACAGUUGUGAAAUCCCCGGGCUCAACCUGGGAACUGCAUCUGUGACUGCAUAGCUAGAGUACGGUAGAGGGGGAUGGAAUUCCGCGUGUAGCAGUGAAAUGCGUAGAUAUGCGGAGGAACACCGAUGGCGAAGGCAAUCCCCUGGACCUGUACUGACGCUCAUGCACGAAAGCGUGGGGAGCAAACAGGAUUAGAUACCCUAGUAGUCC
rnacentral:rRNA from 1 species